ACUAAGCGUACACGGUGGAUGCCCUGGCAGUCAGAGGCGAUGAAGGACGUGCUAAUCUGCGAUAAGCGUCGGUAAGGUGAUAUGAACCGUUAUAACCGGCGAUUUCCGAAUGGGGAAACCCAGUGUGUUUCGACACACUAUCAUUAACUGAAUCCAUAGGUUAAUGAGGCGAACCGGGGGAACUGAAACAUCUAAGUACCCCGAGGAAAAGAAAUCAACCGAGAUUCCCCCAGUAGCGGCGAGCGAACGGGGAGCAGCCCAGAGCCUGAAUCAGUGUGUGUGUUAGUGGAAGCGUCUGGAAAGGCGUGCGAUACAGGGUGACAGCCCCGUACACAAAAAUGCACAUGCUGUGAGCUCGAUGAGUAGGGCGGGACACGUGGUAUCCUGUCUGAAUAUGGGGGGACCAUCCUCCAAGGCUAAAUACUCCUGACUGACCGAUAGUGAACCAGUACCGUGAGGGAAAGGCGAAAAGAACCCCGGCGAGGGGAGUGAAAAAGAACCUGAAACCGUGUACGUACAAGCAGUGGGAGCACGCUUAGGCGUGUGACUGCGUACCUUUUGUAUAAUGGGUCAGCGACUUAUAUUCUGUAGCAAGGUUAACCGAAUAGGGGAGCCGAAGGGAAACCGAGUCUUAACUGGGCGUUAAGUUGCAGGGUAUAGACCCGAAACCCGGUGAUCUAGCCAUGGGCAGGUUGAAGGUUGGAUAACACUAACUGGAGGACCGAACCGACUAAUGUUGAAAAAUUAGCGGAUGACUUGUGGCUGGGGGUGAAAGGCCAAUCAAACCGGGAGAUAGCUGGUUCUCCCCGAAAGCUAUUUAGGUAGCGCCUCGUGAAUUCAUCUCCGGGGGUAGAGCACUGUUUCGGCAAGGGGGUCAUCCCGACUUACCAACCCGAUGCAAACUGCGAAUACCGGAGAAUGUUAUCACGGGAGACACACGGCGGGUGCUAACGUCCGUCGUGAAGAGGGAAACAACCCAGACCGCCAGCUAAGGUCCCAAAGUCAUGGUUAAGUGGGAAACGAUGUGGGAAGGCCCAGACAGCCAGGAUGUUGGCUUAGAAGCAGCCAUCAUUUAAAGAAAGCGUAAUAGCUCACUGGUCGAGUCGGCCUGCGCGGAAGAUGUAACGGGGCUAAACCAUGCACCGAAGCUGCGGCAGCGACGCUGAUGCGUUGUUGGGUAGGGGAGCGUUCUGUAAGCCUGCGAAGGUGUGCUGUGAGGCAUGCUGGAGGUAUCAGAAGUGCGAAUGCUGACAUAAGUAACGAUAAAGCGGGUGAAAAGCCCGCUCGCCGGAAGACCAAGGGUUCCUGUCCAACGUUAAUCGGGGCAGGGUGAGUCGACCCCUAAGGCGAGGCCGAAAGGCGUAGUCGAUGGGAAACAGGUUAAUAUUCCUGUACUUGGUGUUACUGCGAAGGGGGGACGGAGAAGGCUAUGUUGGCCGGGCGACGGUUGUCCCGGUUUAAGCGUGUAGGCUGGUUUUCCAGGCAAAUCCGGAAAAUCAAGGCUGAGGCGUGAUGACGAGGCACUACGGUGCUGAAGCAACAAAUGCCCUGCUUCCAGGAAAAGCCUCUAAGCAUCAGGUAACAUCAAAUCGUACCCCAAACCGACACAGGUGGUCAGGUAGAGAAUACCAAGGCGCUUGAGAGAACUCGGGUGAAGGAACUAGGCAAAAUGGUGCCGUAACUUCGGGAGAAGGCACGCUGAUAUGUAGGUGAAGUCCCUCGCGGAUGGAGCUGAAAUCAGUCGAAGAUACCAGCUGGCUGCAACUGUUUAUUAAAAACACAGCACUGUGCAAACACGAAAGUGGACGUAUACGGUGUGACGCCUGCCCGGUGCCGGAAGGUUAAUUGAUGGGGUCAGCGCAAGCGAAGCUCUUGAUCGAAGCCCCGGUAAACGGCGGCCGUAACUAUAACGGUCCUAAGGUAGCGAAAUUCCUUGUCGGGUAAGUUCCGACCUGCACGAAUGGCGUAAUGAUGGCCAGGCUGUCUCCACCCGAGACUCAGUGAAAUUGAACUCGCUGUGAAGAUGCAGUGUACCCGCGGCAAGACGGAAAGACCCCGUGAACCUUUACUAUAGCUUGACACUGAACAUUGAGCCUUGAUGUGUAGGAUAGGUGGGAGGCUUUGAAGUGUGGACGCCAGUCUGCAUGGAGCCGACCUUGAAAUACCACCCUUUAAUGUUUGAUGUUCUAACGUGGACCCGUGAUCCGGGUUGCGGACAGUGUCUGGUGGGUAGUUUGACUGGGCGGUCUCCUCCUAAAGAGUAACGGAGGAGCACGAAGGUUGGCUAAUCCUGGUCGGACAUCAGGAGGUUAGUGCAAUGGCAUAAGCCAGCUUGACUGCGAGCGUGACGGCGCGAGCAGGUGCGAAAGCAGGUCAUAGUGAUCCGGUGGUUCUGAAUGGAAGGGCCAUCGCUCAACGGAUAAAAGGUACUCCGGGGAUAACAGGCUGAUACCGCCCAAGAGUUCAUAUCGACGGCGGUGUUUGGCACCUCGAUGUCGGCUCAUCACAUCCUGGGGCUGAAGUAGGUCCCAAGGGUAUGGCUGUUCGCCAUUUAAAGUGGUACGCGAGCUGGGUUUAGAACGUCGUGAGACAGUUCGGUCCCUAUCUGCCGUGGGCGCUGGAGAACUGAGGGGGGCUGCUCCUAGUACGAGAGGACCGGAGUGGACGCAUCACUGGUGUUCGGGUUGUCAUGCCAAUGGCACUGCCCGGUAGCUAAAUGCGGAAGAGAUAAGUGCUGAAAGCAUCUAAGCACGAAACUUGCCCCGAGAUGAGUUCUCCCUGACUCCUUGAGAGUCCUGAAGGAACGUUGAAGACGACGACGUUGAUAGGCCGGGUGUGUAAGCGCAGCGAUGCGUUGAGCUAACCGGUACUAAUGAACCGUGAGGCUUAACC
rnacentral:rRNA from 1 species